rnacentral:lncRNA from 1 species
GAACAGUCCUGCGACAACAGCGAUUAGCAUGAAGAUGAGCUGACAAGCAAUAACAGUACCGAGCAGCGGAAAAAAGGAGAGCCUGACGGAGUUGACGGCGGAUAAGAGCUUGACGGGGCGGCCGUAGAAGCCGUGGAAGACGGAGUAGGUGAUGGAGCCGAGAGCGGAGAGGGAGAAGACGAAGACGAAGAGGGCCAAGGCGAGGGCGAGGAGGAGGGUUGGUGAGGAGGGGAGGAGGGGCAGAAUCGGAAGAGGUGAAGAAUUUUUGGGAGGUUAUGAGUGGAUGAUCGGAGAUGAGGAGGUUGUGGAGAGUGGGGUAGACGGUGGAUGAGAAGGAGAUGGGGAGGAGGAAGACGACGGAGAGGGCGAGGAAGUGGCGGGAGUGGGCGUUGAUGAUGCGUCUGGUUUCGGUGAGGACUGCCCGCAAGUUUAGGGAGGGAGGAGAUGGAGUUUCCAUGGCGGGAGGAAAAAACGUCGUCGUUUUUGGGUGCAGGUGAACUGGUGAAGGAAGCGACGGAGGAGGAAGAUGAAGAAGAUGGUGGAGUUGGAGUUUUGUGGAUUGAGUGUGAAAAUGGGUUUUGGUUGUUGAGCUGAAAUUGAAUGGGUCGGGUCGGGUCAUAGUCAUCGGUCCCCGAGUCUGCCGGGUCAACCCAAUGUUUUGAAUGUUAUAUUUUCUUUUCUUCCUUCACAAACAAAAAUACCAGACGCGACUCUUUUAAAUGAAAAAUUAUUAAGAGUGUUUCUAAAUCUACCCAAUAAAUUUCUAAAUAGACCUAACACUUCAAUUUUUGUCACUUACUUUUCUAUUUACACCCAGCAAAUCUUAAAAAAAAAUCACCCAGCACCUCUUGAUGUCUCUUUCUCUUCUAUUACCAGAAUUUUGUUUCAUGAACAAUACAAUGAUUAUCUGGAGCAAACAAUUCAUUAAGGAAUAAUCAACUUGAGCUUAAAUUCGCAAAGAGAAUAAAAGGAAGAAACAAUGUGAAAGAUGUAAACUAGAGUGCUUGAAUUUCGCAACCCAGUAUCGACUACAAUCUUAUUUUGAAGCCUUACAAAAUCUGGGUCCAUCCCAUUGCAACAAAAUUUUCAAAUGCUUUGUUGAGGAACCCUUAUUUCAUAUAUCAGAACCAUUAAGGCUAUGGGGUUCUGAGAAAAAACCCCAAUUUUUUGCGAUUGAUAUCUUCUACUAUUGCUAUGCAAGAGCCAACGCAUCUUGGUUUGAUUAUUGUAAUUGCCUUUAGAAUUCUCUAUGAAAGGACCCAAUAAAUCCAAUGUAUGUAAUGGAGCCACAAACCCAUUAAUUGCAUAACCUAAAAGAGAGCAAUUUGCUGCUUGAUAACGGAAUAGAGAGAGAAAGUUUGUUGUUGGGUGUGUAUAUAAGGGCAGAAUUGGAAUUAAAUGACAAUUUUUCAGUUGUUGGGUCAAUUUAGAAGUUUGCUGGGUACAUUUAGCAUCACCCAUCAUUAACCGAUUUAUUAGAUUUUUUUUUUUUUUAGAUUAAUGAAAAACUUCAUUAAGAGCCGAGCUCAAAAGAGCCUAGCAAUUGCUAAGUCCAUAUCGUUACAUUAAAAAAAAAAAAUUCCCCUAAAUCAGAAACAAGAUAGACAUGAACAAAUCUCCUCAAAAGGAAAAACGCCGUCCCAUUACUCAGUUUGAUCCACCAGCAUCAGAGGACAUGGGAGACCGUCGUUUCUAAGUACAACAAUCAUGGACCGUGGUGGCUGGUGAGCCCAUCUUUUCAUACCCACAGUCUAGGAGGCAAGUGCGGUGCCACAGUGGGCGCGCCAUUUGCUUCACGCGGAGCCGAGCUCCAGAUGCAAUCGGAGAAACCUGAACACAGGUUUCAGAUUUGACUUAUGAUUGGGUAAUCGCUUUACUAGAUAGACGCAUGAAACCUACUAUGAUUUCUGAUUUAUCUUGUACUCUUCCUAUAAAAAGAGGCUCAUAUCGAUGUGUAUAUCAUACAAUCAACAACACAAGACCUAUUAUACUAUACUUUAUUUCCAAUUCUUUACGAGACUUGAAUUUUUGUAGCAGCACCAAGAAACGUUCUAAAGUAUUUUGAAGUGAUUUUUGUAGAAUUGAAGCAUCGUUUGAAAUACUUUGAAUCAUACGAUAAAUAUCGAGAAAUUCUAAAAAAAUCGAUCAUCAUAAUGAUUUAUGUUGCAACUAAGUGCGAAUUGAAGGCCAGAGUAAGAUCUUUUGAUAAUAGUAAAUUGCAGAUACACUAAUUGUCACAUCCCGGGACCCGCUCCGCCGUAACACGAUAUUGUUCGUUUUGGGCCCACCGGCCCUCACGGUUUUGUUUCCGGCAGCUCAGGAGCAGUUUCCCAGUAGGUCACCCAUCCUGGGAUUGCUCUAGCAUCAACAUGCUUAACCUCGGAGUACCCAUCCCCUCCGAAGCCGCUGAGCCACCAAAAGGCCUCGUGUUAGAUUGGAGGUGGGUAUGUACAUAUACAGCACAUAACCCCUCUCCGUUUGGCCGAGGUGGGAUAUUACACUAAUGCAGAUGGUUUAUACAGAAGAGUUGUUAAUCUCCGUAUGGAACUACGAAUAAACACUGGCCAGAGCGUUCAACUUCAAGAUUUGCAGACAAUAAAAACAUCCAUUUCCCACCAUUAUGAACCCAGAUCAUAUUGAACUGAAAAACUUAACCACAGAUAUCAUACAUUUCAAACCACAACACAUCCUAUUUACAAGUAUCAUAUCCUUCGCAUUAUUCACUGUUAUGAUUACACCAAACACUAACAAGUAAAACGACUGCAAAACCAUUCACAGAGUGCAACUAACCUCAUCCUCAUCCAACAUAACCAACCGAAACAACAUGAGGAACCUUCCCAUCAUCAAAAGGCAGGCUCACAUACUCGCUUGCAAACUCCUCCGCAAUCUCCAACGCAAUCUCUCCAUUCACAGCCUUGCAAUACAUAUACAGCACCGUAUUCGCCGCAGCAUGAUACAACAACACAAGCAUAACAACCGUCGAACACGACACAACCAUCACCACAUUCCUCGACCCGUCCCGACCCCUCCACUCAUACGAAACAGAGCUGCAUAACCCCAAAACCCCACUACAAACCCCGAAAAACACCAUCAGCGACAGCCCCACCCCUCGCAUUCCCCUCAUCAAAUCCGCACUCCUCCUCAACGCGCCGAACCCCCAAUGUGGCUCGACCACAGAAACUACCCCAGCCAGAGUCCAAUUCACUUGCAGAUACAGCAAAACAAGUAGCAAUACAAUCGCAACCACGAUGAACAGCCCAACGAAAUACGGCGAGGAUAGCUCCAUUUCCAAUCCAAUCAUCUCGAAAACUCCGAUCACCAAGAACAAGAACAGUCCUGCGACAAGAGCGGUUAGCAAGAAGAUGAGCUGACAAGCAAUAACAGUACCGAGCAGCCGAAAAAAGGAGAGCCUGACGGAGUUGACAGCGGAUAAGAACUUGACGGGGCGGCCGUAGAAGCCGUGGAAGACGGAGUAGGUGAUGGAGCCGAGACCGAAGAGGGAGAAGACGAAGACUAAGAGGGCCAAGGCGAGGGCGAGGAGGAGGAGGUGAGGAGGGGCAGAAUCGGAAGAGGUGAAGAAUUCUUGGGAGUUUAUGAGUGGGUGAUCGGAGAUGAGGAGGUUGUGGAGAGUUGGG